CCUACGGGAGGCAGCAGUGAGGAAUAUUGGUCAAUGGACGCAAGUCUGAACCAGCCAUGCCGCGUGCAGGAUGACGGCUCUAUGAGUUGUAAACUGCUUUUGUACGAGGGUAAACGCUCUUACGUGUAAGAGCCUGAAAGUAUCGUACGAAUAAGGAUCGGCUAACUCCGUGCCAGCAGCCGCGGUAAUACGGAGGAUUCAAGCGUUAUCCGGAUUUAUUGGGUUUAAAGGGUGCGUAGGCGGUUUGAUAAGUUAGAGGUGAAAUUUCGGGGCUCAACCCUGAACGUGCCUCUAAUACUGUUGAGCUAGAGAGUAGUUGCGGUAGGCGGAAUGUAUGGUGUAGCGGUGAAAUGCUUAGAGAUCAUACAGAACACCGAUUGCGAAGGCAGCUUACCAAACUAUAUCUGACGUUGAGGCACGAAAGCGUGGGGAGCAAACAGGAUUAGAUACCCUGGUAGUCCACGCAGUAAACGAUGAUAACUCGUUGUCGGCGAUACACAGUCGGUGACUAAGCGAAAGCGAUAAGUUAUCCACCUGGGGAGUACGUUCGCAAGAAUGAAACUCAAAGGAAUUGACGGGGGCCCGCACAAGCGGAGGAACAUGUGGUUUAAUUCGAUGAUACGCGAGGAACCUUACCCGGGCUUGAAAGUUAGCGACGAUUCUUGAAAGAGGAUUUCCCUUCGGGGCGCGAAACUAGGUGCUGCAUGGUUGUCGUCAGCUCGUGCCGUGAGGUGUCGGCUUAAGUCCCAUAACGAGCGCAACCCCUACCGUUAGUUGCCAUCAGGUCAAGCUGGGCACUCUGGCGGGACUGCCGGUGUAAGCCGAGAGGAAGGUGGGGAUGACGUCAAAUCAGCACGGCCCUUACGUCCGGGGCUACACACGUGUUACAAUGGUAGGUACAGAGGGCAGCUACCCAGCGAUGGGAUGCGAAUCUCGAAAGCCUAUCUCAGUUCGGAUUGGAGGCUGAAACCCGCCUCCAUGAAGUUGGAUUCGCUAGUAAUCGCGCAUCAGCCAUGGCGCGGUGAAUACGUUCCCGGGCCUUGUACACACCGCCCGUCAAGCCAUGGGAGCCGGGGGUGCCUGAAGUUCGUGACCGCAAGGAGCGACCUAGGGCAAAACUGGUGACUGGGGCUAAGUCGUAACAAGGUAGCCGUACCGGAAGGUGCGGCUG
rnacentral:rRNA from 1 species